UACGGAGGGUGCAAGCGUUAUCCGGAUUCACUGGGUUUAAAGGGUGCGUAGGUGGUCUGUUAAGUCAGCGGUGAAAGCCUGGAGCUCAACUCCAGAAUUGCCAUUGAUACUGACGGACUUGAAUCAAGUUGAGGUGGAUGGAAUAUUACAUGUAGCGGUGAAAUGCUUAGAUAUGUAAUAGAACACCGAUUGCGAAGGCAGUUCACUAAGCUUGUAUUGACACUGAGGCACGAAAGCGUGGGGAUCAAACAGG
rnacentral:rRNA from 1 species